rnacentral:rRNA from 1 species
CCUACGGGUGGCAGCAGUGAGGAAUAUUGGUCAAUGGGCGCGAGCCUGAACCAGCCAAGUCGCGUGAGGGAAGACGGUCCUAGGGAUUGUAAACCUCUUUAGCCGGGGAGCAAAAGACGCCACGCGAGGCGUUCCGAGAGUACCCGAAGAAAAAGCCUCGGCUAACUCCGUGUCAGCAGCCGCGGUAAUACGGAGGAUGCGAGCGUUAUCCGGAGUUAUUGGGGUAAAAGGGUGCGCAGGCGGAAGAUCAAGCCAGCGGUAAAAUUGAGAGGCUCAACCUCUUCGAGCCGUUGAAACUGGUUUUCUUGAGUGGGCGAGAGGUAUGCGGAAUGCGUGGUGUAGCGGUGAAAUGCAUAGAUAUCACGCAGAACUCCAGUUGCGAAGGCAGCAUACCGGCGCUCAACUGACGCUCAUGCACGAAAGUGUGGGUAUCGAACAGGAUUAGAUACCCGAGUAGUC